UCCCCUAGUAACGGCGAGUGAAGCGGGAAGAGCUCAAAUUUGAAAUCUGGCGGUCUACGGCCGUCCGAGUUGUAAUCUAGAGAGGUGUUUUCCGUGCCGGACCGUGUACAAGUCCCUUGGAACAGGGCGUCAUAGAGGGUGAGAAUCCCGUCCAUGACACGGACUACCGGUGCUCUGUGAUACACCUUCAAAGAGUCGAGUUGUUUGGGAAUGCAGCUCAAAAUGGGUGGUAAAUUCCAUCUAAAGCUAAAUACAGGCGAGAGACCGAUAGCGAACAAGUACCGUGAGGGAAAGAUGAAAAGAACUUUGGAAAGAGAGUUAAACAGUACGUGAAAUUGUUGAAAGGGAAACGCUUGAAGUCAGUCGCGUCUGCCAGGACUCAGCCUUGCUUCUGCAUGGUGCAUUUCCUGGUGGAUGGGCCAGCAUCGAUUUUGGUCGCCGGACAAGGGCGGGAGGAAUGUGGCAGCUUGCUGUGUUAUAGCCUCCCGUCGUACACGGUGGUUGGGAUCGAGGACUGCAGCACGCCUUUGGUCGGGGUUCGCCCACGCCACGUGCUUAGGAUGCUGGCNUAAUGGCUUUAAACGACCCGUCUUGAAACACGGACCAAGGAGUCUAACAUGCCUGCGAGUGUUUGGGCGUUAAACCCAGGCGCGUAAUGAAAGUGAAAAGUUGGGACUCUUUAGUGAGGCACCGACGCCCGAUCCUGACGUUCUCUGACGGAUUUGAGGUAGAGCAUGUAUGUUGGGACCCGAAAGAUGGUGAACUAUGCCUGAAUAGGGUGAAGCCAGAGGAAACUCUGGUGGAGGCUCGUAGCGAUUCUGACGUGCAAAUCGAUCGUCAAAUUUGGGUAUAGGGGCGAAAGACUAA
rnacentral:rRNA from 1 species